UACGGGGGGGGCAAGCGUUGUUCGGAAUUACUGGGCGUAAAGGGCUCGUAGGCGGCCCUCUCAGUCGGAUGUGAAAUCCCCAGGCUCAACCUGGGAAUGGCAUCCGAUACUGGAGGGCUUGAAUUCGGGAGAGGGAUGCAGAAUUCCAGGUGUAGCGGUGAAAUGCGUAGAUAUCUGGAGGAAUACCGGUGGCGAAGGCGGCAUCCUGGACCGACAUUGACGCUGAGGAGCGAAAGCUAGGGGAGCAAACGGG
rnacentral:rRNA from 1 species